ACAAGAAAGAGAAGAAGGAGAAGAAGGAGAAAAAAGAGAAAAAGGAAAAGGAC
rnacentral:ribozyme from 1 species